rnacentral:rRNA from 1 species
ACCAGACUCCUACGGGAGGCAGCAGUGGGGAAUAUUGCACAAUGGGGGAAACCCUGAUGCAGCGACGCCGCGUGAGUGAAGAAGUAUUUCGGUAUGUAAAGCCCUAUCAGCAGGGAAGAAAAUGACGGUACCUGAGUAAGAAGCCCCGGCUAACUACGUGCCAGCAGCCGCGGUAAUACGUAGGGGGCAAGCGUUAUCCGGAUUUACUGGGUGUAAAGGGAGCGUAGACGGAGCGUCAAGUCUGGAGUGAAAUGCCGCGGCUUAACCGCGGAACUGCUUUGGAAACUGUGCAGCUGGAGUGCAGGAGAGGUAAGCGGAAUUCCUAGUGUAGCGGUGAAAUGCGUAGAUAUUAGGAGGAACACCAGUGGCGAAGGCGGCUUACUGGACUGUAACUGACGUUGAGGCUCGAAAGCGUGGGGAGCAAACAGGAUUAGAUACCCCUGUAGA